CAAGGAUUCCAAGAAAUCAUAAUGCCCAGAGUUUGCAAGUGGCGAGAAAGUGAGCAUUCUCAUACACAGAUGCAGCUAUCUCACUGUCUGUCUCACACUCACUGAGGGUGAUGUUUCAGGAGCCACUGGACAGAAUCUUCUGCGGCAAACCUGAGAAAGAAAACUGAAAUUACUGCUUUGAAGUGACGGGUUACUCAGAAAUACUGAAAUACAUAUUCUAUAAAAUGUAAACUUUUGAUUUUGACUCUAAUAAAAUGUUAAGCCUUUG
ensembl:lncRNA novel transcript, antisense to C14orf50